CCCUUAGAUGUUCUGAGCCGCACGCGCGCUACAAUGGUCUUCGCAAACGGAUGCAUUCUCGAAGGAGAAUGCCAAUCUUGGAAUCUAUGCCUUGGUCGGGACAGUUGCUUGCAAUUUUUCGACUCGAACCAGGAAUUCCUUGUAAUCGUGAUUCAUCACAUCACGAUGAAUACGUCCCUGCCCUUUGUACACACCGCCCGUCGCUCCUACCGAUCGAAGAGUUAGGUGAAUUGUUUUGAUCGAUAAGAUUUGACUAUGGUCAACUCUCGUUGUGAAAUUCUGUGAAUCUGACUGUUUAGAGGAAGGAAAAGUCGUAACA
rnacentral:rRNA from 1 species